GCGAGAACUACUCUCCAAAACGUUUUUGAGUUGAAAUCAGA
rnacentral:sRNA from 1 species